rnacentral:rRNA from 1 species
AUUGAACGCUGCGGGCAGGCCAAACACUUGCAUGUCGAACGAGUGGCGGACGGGUGAGUAAUGUCUGGGAAAAUGACUGAUGGAGGGGGAUCAAUACGGGAAACGGUAGCUAAUACCGCAUACAAUCGGAGGUGCACAGAUGGGAUUAGCUAGUAGGGUGGGUAAAGGCUUCCCUAGGCGACGAUCCCUAGCUGGUCUGAGAGGAUGACCAGCCAACCGGAUACUGAUACCCGGUCCAUACUCCUACGGUAGGCAGCAGUGGGGAAUAUUGCCCAAUGGGCGCAAGCCUGAUACAGCCAUGCCGCGUGUAGGAAGACGGCCUUCGGUUUGUAAAGUACUUUCAGCGGGGAGGCCUUACCCGCAGGUGAAGCCCCGCCUAACUCCGUGCCAGCCGCCGCGGUAAUUC